AGGAGUGACCAUACCAGCACUAAUGCAUGGGAUUCCAUCAGAACUCCGCAGUUAAACGUGCUUGGGCCAGAAUAGUUCUAAGAUGAGCAGACAGUAUUCAAUUUCC
rnacentral:rRNA from 1 species